GCCUGCGCAGUGCGCGCGGGGCCUGCACGGCGGCGGCGGCGGCGGCGGCGGGAGGAGCCGCGGGAUGUCGGGGCCGGGCGGGCCGGGCCCCGGCGGGGGGAAGCUGGACAUCAACCGCGCCGGUGUGGCCGAGCUGGAGGGCGCGCUCAGCGGCAUCGGCCGCCGCCGCGCCCGUGGCAUCGUGCGCAAGAGAGAGGAACUCAAGGGAUUCAACUCACUUGAUGAUCUUCUCCAUGUCAAAGGCAUCACCACCCGCAUCUUGGAGCUGAACAGUCAGCGGAUGACUUGCAGGAGGAGGCCAAGCAGUGAGGAAGCUGUGAGGGUGAGCCCUGGUCUGCAAGGGGACAGCAAAGCUCCUGUGCCUCAGGUGGUGGCUGAGGAGGAGGAGGUUUCGGGCCCUUGGGAGCCGGAGCGCUCUGGGAAGGGGAGCCCAGGGUCAGGACCGGAGGCUGAUGGCUCCAGUGGGCCAGGGGCACAGGAGCCGGUCAGCUCCACCGUCUGCGGGGAGCAGGAGGAGGAGGAGGAGGAAGAAGAGGAAGAGGGGAGCUGCUACAGCGAGGAAGGGGAGGAUGGUAGCAACGUCUACUUCUAUUACACCAUCGGAGAGCGCUGGAUAGACUACCUGCAGCGGACAGAGGACGGUGGCCUCCUCCGUCACGUGCGGCCCAAGAUGAAGCGGAAGUCAGAGAACGGCCUGGAUGGCCGGGCCCUUUCCCCUGGUAAAAAGCUGUGCAAGGGCUCCGAGUACAGCAGGACGCUGGGUCCCUGCAUGCCCAGCCCCACCACCACCUUCGGGGACCUGCGCAACGCCAAAGCAGGCCAGGCACGGCGCCGCCGCAUCCCCUCGGUCGCUCCUCCUCCCGAGCUGCAGGACUGGCUCCGCACCUUCCAGCGCUGGAGUGGCCCGGAGAAGCUGCUUGCUCUGGAUGAGCUCAUCGAUCGCUGCGAGCCCUCCCAGAUCAAGUACAUGAUGCAGGUCAUUGAGCCCCAGUUCCAGAGAGACUUCAUUUCCCUGCUGCCCAAGGAGCUGGCACUCUAUGUCCUCUCGUUCCUGGAGCCUCGGGACCUGCUCCGUGCUGCCCAGACCUGUCGCUACUGGAGGGUCUUGGCUGAAGAUAACCUGCUUUGGAGGGAGAAAUGCCGCGAGGAAGGCAUUGAGGAGCCCUUGAACCUGCGGAAGCGGCGCCUGCUGAGCCCUGGGUUCAUGUACAGCCCCUGGAAAUUUGCAUUCAUGCGGCAGCACAAAAUCGACAUGAAUUGGCGCAGUGGGGAGCUUAAAGCCCCCAAGGUGCUGAAGGGACACGAUGACCACGUCAUUACCUGCCUGCAGUUCUGCGGCAACCGGAUAGUCAGUGGCUCGGACGACAACACGCUCAAAGUGUGGUCGGCUGUCACUGGGGAGUGUGUGCAGACACUGGUUGGCCACACAGGGGGAGUGUGGUCUUCCCAGAUGAGGGACAGCAUCGUCAUCAGCGGCUCCACGGACCGGACCCUCAAGGUGUGGAACGCGGACACGGGCGAGUGCGUGCACACGCUGUACGGGCACACGUCCACGGUGCGCUGCAUGCACUUGCACGGGAACAGGGUUGUGAGCGGCUCGCGGGACGCCACGCUGCGCCUCUGGGACAUCGAGACCGGGCAGUGCCUGCACGUGCUGAUGGGGCACGUGGCUGCCGUGCGCUGCGUGCAGUACGACGGGCACAAGGUGGUGAGCGGCGCGUACGACUACACGGUGAAAGUCUGGGACCCCGAGAGCGAGAGCUGCACUCACACGCUGCAGGGGCACACGAACCGCGUCUACUCCUUGCAGUUUGAUGGGACACACAUCGUGAGCGGCUCUCUGGACACUUCGAUCCGAGUGUGGGACGUAGAGAGUGGAAACUGCUUGCACACCCUCAUGGGGCACCAGUCGCUCACGAGCGGCAUGGAGUUACGUGACAACAUCCUCGUGUCCGGCAACGCCGACUCCACCGUCAAGAUCUGGGACAUCAAGACGGGCCAGUGCCUGCAAACGCUGCAGGGCCCCAGCAAGCACCAGAGCGCCGUCACCUGCCUGCAGUUCAGCUCCAAAUUCGUGGUGACCAGCUCAGAUGACGCCGCGCUGCCCUGGGCGAGGGCUCGUUCUCACCCGUGUUGAGGCAGCCCCUUGGGGAGGGAUGAGGCGGCUCCGGGAUUCGGAGAGGAGCUGGGCUGGCCCUGCUGAGCCAGGCUUCUGCGCUGCUGCUGCUGCGUCCCCAUCCGACCGGCGUAAACCACCGACCUUGAAAGGAGAAGGGACCGUCACCAGCCCAACCGGUGUGCAAGCAUCCCGGGCCCCGGCCUCCCGGCCCCUGAAGGCAGAAAGGUGAGCCCAGCAGCCCUGGCGUCUCCCCGACCACCCCGUUUCAGCGGUAGCCUGCUGUGGUCUGGAGGCCGGGAAAGAAACCGGAGCAGAAAACCACGCCGAGAGACCUGCUGGUCCGUGCAGCGGGAUGAGAUCUGGCAUCUCUGCAGGUGGCGAGUUCAGAGUUGCCAUUAAUGAGCCAUCGCCAGCUGUGCCGCGCGGGUCCGCUCGUGCCUGCGAGCUCCCGUCGCACUGAGCAGCUGCACAAAAACCUCAAGCGGUUGCGCAAGCCGGGGUGCACGAAGAUGUGUCGCCGGCUGCUGCGCGCAGCCCUCGCCCCGCGCAGUGCACGAAGCCAUUUGGCAGCGAUUGGCCAAACAAAUCUGCCCACUUGCCUUUAGGAUAAAUGAUUUCCCCCAAAUAACAUAAAUCACCGGGGCCCCUAUUUUAAGCUGUUCUGGUUUUGCCUUUUCAAAGACAGCUGUGAAACGCCAGCGAGGAAGGAAUGGAGUUCAAGAAAGAACCUUAGUUCUGGUCCCGCGCGCCCGCUAGCUUCUUGAAAGCCUAGGCAGAUGCCAUUGUCCUUGGCUGAAUUUUCUGCGACGUUGUUUAUGGGCAAAACGCAUCUUUCCCAGUGGAGGAGUUUGUCAGAGAACUCUGCAAUGGCUCUGACUCCUCUUUCUCGUCGAAUCACGGAAUACCGGCCUGGAGGGGACCUCGAGGAUCAUCUGGUCCAACCUGUCUUGGCAAAAGCUCAGUCUAGACGAGAUGGCCCGGCACCUGGUCCAGCUGAACCUUAAGAGUGUCCAGUGCUGGGGAACCCACCACUUCCCUGAGGAGAUUAUUCCAGUGGCUGAUUGUUCUCACUGUAAAAAAUUUUCCUCCUGUGUCUGAUUGGAAUCUCCCAGUGAGAAAGUCGUCCCCAUCACCCCGCAUCUUUUCCAUGUGAUUCCUUGUAAAAAGGGAGUCUCCAUCUCCUCUGUAGUCACCCUUUAAACACUGGAACAUGGUGAUAAGGUCUCCCCUAAGGCUUCUCUUCUCAAGGCUGAGCAAACUCAGUUCUCUCAGCCUUUCCUCACAUGGCUGCCCCGUCCCUUGAUCAUCUUCGUGGCCCUUCUCUGGGCCCUCUCCAGCCCGGCCACAGCUUUUUUGUGUAGCGGGGACCAGAACUGAACACAGUAUUCCAGGCGUGGCCUGACAAGUGCAGAGCAGACUGUUCUAUCCCUGCUGGUGAUGCAGCCCAUCACCCCGUUGGCUUUUUUCGCCGCUGCAGUCCACUGCUCACUCGUGUUGAGCUGCUUGUCCCCCAGGACCCCCAGGUAAAUCCCUUUCUGCAGAGCUGCUCCCCAGCCAGGGCUGCGCUCCUGGAUGAUGUUUUCCCAGGUGCAAGACCUUACACUGUCCUUGUUGAAAUUCCCAAGGUUCUUCUUAGCCCAAUCCUUCAGCCUAGCCAAGGUCUUCCUGCAGGGUGGCUCUCCCUUCCCAGGCGUCCGCUUCCCCGCUCAGUCUGGCAUCAUCAGCAGACUUCAUCGGGCUAUGCUUGGUCCCAUCAUCCAGAUCACUUUAUGAAGAUAUUUUGUUAUAUAUGGAAACAAAUCUUCAGCACCCCCUGGAUGCCGUGCUGGGGACACACUGGGAAUCAGAUCCAGCCCCGCCGAGAUCCAUCCCAAAGCUGCCCGGCACGGUGCCAGGCUUGGGCAGUGGCUGUGACACCGGCUGUGCCGCCGGUGGGGACAGCACGGGAGGGGUAGCUGCUCUUCCCCGGGAACCACGGCGGUCUGGGGGGGGGCUCAGGUGGGGGGAGCUGGGGCAGCAGAGGAGAAAAGCACCCGGGAGAAAAAGUCACGCCGAAGGGGCAGACCGAGAGCAGCUCUGCCGGCUGGGGAGGCAAACAAGGCAGCGCUCUGGAAGAGGAAUUUCUGGUGCCCAGAGCUGCCCCGUGCAAGCCUGGAACUUCUAAAGAUGACGGAUACCCCCGGGGUCUUAUCCUCUGUCGCCUCCAGAUGUUGAGCUCCCAGGCUGCAGCAAGGAUUCCCGCAUCCACCUCCCAGGGCACGGCUUCAAACUCACCCGCUUACGCACAGACAGGCUCGCCGAGACUGUCUAUAAUCUGAUUAGGAGCAGUACCGUGGAUUAAAAUAAUUACAUGCGUGUUGGGAAGACGACGUAGUUGCUAUUAAAGACACCGGUGUUUCUUUUACAGCCGGCAGCUCAGCCCCACACUUCUGUCAGAGGUGUCUCGGGACUGCGCUCUCCGAAGAGGAGAACUGGGUGCUCGCCGCAAACAUCGGCUCGUCGGGCGUAGGAGAAAAGCUGCCUCCUAACGGGAGCACUCAGCUGGGGAGAGGGACGCUGGAGCCACUUGGCAACCCGGCAUAAAUCAUCACCGGAGUGCCCGGCACGCUUUCAUCCAUAAAGUUUAACACAAAAGGUGAGGCGGGUGCGUCUUUGGGCAGGACUGCCCGACUGCUGGGCGGCUGCGUCCCACGCCCGCGAGCAGAGGACAGCCGGAGCCGAGCCAGCAGCUGAUACUGCAGAAAGGUUCAUUUCCCGCCGCCGAGCAAAGCCCUCGCUAAACUUAAUCAGGAGGAAAUUUUUCAGACAGAAGAAACUUGUAACAUAUUUUUUUUUUUUUUUUUCGGUUUCUUUGACGGUGAAGCCGUCAGAUCUUGGCAAGCAAGGAAGGAUAUGAAAUUUAGAAAGAUGUUAAGCAUUUGCUAGAACAUAAAACUUCUUCGAAAUCAA